rnacentral:rRNA from 1 species
CAACCUGCCUAUAAGACUGGGAUAACUUCGGGAAACCGGAGCUAAUACCGGAUACGUUCUUUUCUCGCAUGAGAGAAGAUGGAAAGACGGUUUACGCUGUCACUUAUAGAUGGGCCCGCGGCGCAUUAGCUAGUUGGUGAGGUAAUGGCUCACCAAGGCGACGAUGCGUAGCCGACCUGAGAGGGUGAUCGGCCACACUGGGACUGAGACACGGCCCAGACUCCUACGGGAGGCAGCAGUAGGGAAUCUUCCGCAAUGGACGAAAGUCUGACGGAGCAACGCCGCGUGAACGAAGAAGGCCUUCGGGUCGUAAAGUUCUGUUGUUAGGGAAGAACAAGUACCAGAGUAACUGCUGGUACCUUGACGGUACCUAACCAGAAAGCCACGGCUAACUACGUGCCAGCAGCCGCGGUAAUACGUAGGUGGCAAGCGUUGUCCGGAAUUAUUGGGCGUAAAGCGCGCGCAGGUGGUUCCUUAAGUCUGAUGUGAAAGCCCACGGCUCAACCGUGGAGGGUCAUUGGAAACUGGGGAACUUGAGUGCAGAAGAGGAAAGUGGAAUUCCAAGUGUAGCGGUGAAAUGCGUAGAGAUUUGGAGGAACACCAGUGGCGAAGGCGACUUUCUGGUCUGUAACUGACACUGAGGCGCGAAAGCGUGGGGA